UACGUAGGGGGCUAGCGUUGUUCGGAAUUACUGGGCGUAAAGCGCACGUAGGCGGAUUUGUAAGUCAGGGGUGAAAUCCCGGGGCUCAACCUCGGAACUGCCUUUGAUACUGCAAGUCUCGAGUCCGAUAGAGGUGAGUGGAAUUCCUAGUGUAGAGGUGAAAUUCGUAGAUAUUAGGAAGAACACCAGUGGCGAAGGCGGCUCACUGGAUCGGUACUGACGCUGAGGUGCGAAAGCGUGGGGAGCAAACAGG
rnacentral:rRNA from 1 species